AGGCCUUUCCCUAAACGUGCUAUUCAGGCCUUUCCCUAAACGUGCUAUUCAGGCCUUUCCCUAAACGUGCUAUUCAGGCCUUUCCCUAAACGUGCUAUUCAGGCCUUUCCCUAAACGUUGGCUUUUGGAAUUGGAUCUGUGUUGUGCAGCACACUGAUAGGUAAUUAGACAGGCUGAGGCUUCACACCAGGCCAUGAUCACUGUCACACACACCGUGGGCGAUAUUUUACCCAGGACCCCCUGCCAUGUGUUCCCUCUCCUGAGCCCUGGUCUACUCUGCCGGGCUUUUUCUGUUUUAAACUUUGAGGAGAUGGAACCAACUGUAUUCUAUUCAAUGAUGAAGACUGAAUGACUUGCCAUAGAAACCGUUAGUGAAUUUGGGGGGCGUAGAUUAACCUAUUAUUGCGUGUGUAUGUGUUGUAUUAUCUAAAAAAGCAGGGACACACUUUCAAUUAACUAGAUAAUGUAGGAGAAAUAGAACAGCUGUCAUGCAUAUUUGUUACCUGACCCCUACUAUGUUUCCAAUGUUUUACAAUCGAGGAUAGCUUUGGAAAUAUGUGUUUUCAUUAAUGAUUUCAUGUUUAUCCUUCAUCUAAAAAAGCUCUUGUGGAUGUACGGUACGUUUUAUUUGCUACUCAGAAUGAAAUGUAAUUCACAGUCCUAUCUAUGAUACAUCUAUAGACUGGAUCAGUCUGGUUUAAAGACACCGUACUGGCUCAGUCUGGUUUAAAGACACCGUACAGGGUCAGUCUGGUUUAAAGACACCGUACAGGGUCAGUCUGGUUUAAAGACACCGUACAGGGUCAGUCUGGUUUAAAGACACCGUACAGGGUCAGUCUGGUUUAAAGACACCGUACAGGGUCAGUCUGGUUUAAAGACACCGUACAGGGUCAGUCUGGUUUAAAGACACCGUACUGGAUCAGUCUGGUUUAAAGACACCGUACAGGGUCAGUCUGGUUUAAAGACACCGUACUGGAUCAAUCUGGUUUAAAGACACCGUACAGGGUCAGUCUGGUUUAAUACACAUUAAUAUUAUAUUUGGACUGAUUUGACCUGCCUCAACACUUGUUACUAUUUUAGUGCUCAACAGCUGUAUAUCUUAUUUAAAGUACUGCUUUGCUUGGGCCCAUCUAUUAUUUUGUGACGUUCAGAUGUUUGUGUACUGAUUCCAAAGGAUUACCGAAGAAGACAAGUGUAUGCACUGGAGUUGGUUUAGUCGUUUGGAUAAAGUUGUGCUGUUAUAAUAAUAAAUAAAAUCACUGCUUUCA